AAUUAGACCACAAACACAUGAUUGUGUUAUGAGCUGGAGGGAGAUUCCAUCUGUGGAAAUUGAGCUGUAAUUCACACUCUUCCUUCUGUUUCCCUCUCAUUGCAUUCCCAACAACACUAUAAAUCCAAACCCUGCAACUUGCAUCUUUCACAUUUCUUCUUCUUCUUCUUCUUCUUCUUCUUCUUCUUUUCUAUUCACCUAUUACACAUCAUUCUCUUAAUGUGGACAUGGAAUUCAGCACCAUCUUUUGUAUAUUUCUUUCUUUUCCCUUCAUGCUUCUCUUCAAGUAAUUCCUCACUUCCAUCACUUCCAAACACUAGGAAUAGUUACUCCCUCUUGGUUGCAUUGGUUGUUCUUACAUUCGUGAAACCUUUCAAAUGUGUUCCCUUUCUUUUUCAUCAUCAUCACAUUUGAAACCUCUUGGAGGGGUUUUAGAAAAAUGGUACUCAACUGAAACUUUGAUUGAGAAUACAUUUGAAAGGUUUCUCCUAUGUAAGGUCCACCUAUGGAAUCAGGAAGGAGAAACUGCUCCUGGUGUUUGCAGGGGAAAGACUGGAGCAGUUACUUGAUUAGAAUAAUAAAGAGAAAAGGAGCAAGCAAGCAAAACGUGGCGCUUAGUUCCAUUUCAAUAUUUCAUGUAAGUGGCUUGAAAUAGGUGAAUAGGGAAGAACAUGAAGCAAAAUUGAUGAUCAGUGAAGAAAAGCCAGCACAAGGUUCCAUCCACUUCUACUUUAUGUCGACGUGUUCAAAAAGAAGCAUAACAGCACCUUGAUCUGAUUCAUGCCAUGCUUGUCAUAUCCAUCGGAUGGAUAUAUAUAUAUAUAUAUAUAUAUAUAUAUAUAGUUAACAAGUACUUUUGUAUAAUGAGCAGAAGAAAAAUUGAUGGCAGAGAGAACAAUUCCAUCAAUUAUGUACUAUUUUUGAAGUGUUUACAAAAGAUGAAGGUAAUUUCAUAA